UGAGGAAUAUUGGUCAAUGGGCGCUAGCCUGAACCAGCCAAGUAGCGUGCAGGACGACGGCCCUAUGGGUUGUAAACUGCUUUUAUGCGGGGAUAAAGUCACCCACGUGUGGGUGUUUGCAGGUAUCGCAUGAAUAAGGACCGGCUAAUUCCGUGCCAGCAGCCGCGGUAAUACGGAAGGUUCGGGCGUUAUCCGGAUUUAUUGGGUUUAAAGGGAGCGUAGGCCGUUUGGUAAGCGUGUUGUGAAAUGUAGGAGCUCAACUUCUAGAUUGCAGCGCGAACUGUCAGACUUGAGUGCGCACAACGUAGGCGGAAUUCAUGGUGUAGCGGUGAAAUGCUUAGAUAUCAUGAAGAACUCCGAUUGCGAAGGCAGCUUACGGGAGCGCAACUGACGCUGAAGCUCGAAGGUGCGGGUAUCGAACAGG
rnacentral:rRNA from 1 species